rnacentral:rRNA from 1 species
CCUACGGGGGGCAGCAGUGGGGAAUAUUGCACAAUGGGGGGAACCCUGAUGCAGCGACGCCGCGUGAGCGAGGAAGUAUUUCGGUAUGUAAAGCUCUAUCAGCAGGGACGAAAAAAGACGGUACCUGACUAAGAAGCCCCGGCUAACUACGUGCCAGCAGCCGCGGUAAUACGUAGGGGGCAAGCGUUAUCCGGAUUUACUGGGUGUAAAGGGAGCGCAGGCGGCGUGGCAAGUCAGAUGUGAAAACCCGGGGCCCAACCCCGGGAGUGCAUUUGAAACUGCCAUGCUGGAGUGCCGGAGAGGUAAGCGGAAUUCCUGGUGGAGCGGUGAAAUGCGUAGAUAUUAGGAGGAACACCAGUGGCGGAGGCGGCUUACUGGACGGUAACUGACGCUGAGGCUCGAAAGCGUGGGGAGCAAACAGGAUUAGAUACCCCAGUAGUC